CUGCUCAGGCUGCGAGUUCCCGGCUCUGGGGACUCACCUUGCGGAGCUUACCCAGGCGGACUGUCCGCAGCCCCGGAUGGGUGUGUGUGUCAGACCGUUUACUAAACACCAGGACUGUUGUAGGCGGCUCAGCCAUGUUGAACCAUGAAAGGACCUCAGGAAUGAAACCCACACACAGCAAAGCAGCAAAGUGAAAGAAGCGUGGAUUCCUAAUGCAGGAGGCACUGAACCAAUCAAUACCCACUGCCCUCCAGACCUCCACAUGAAAGAAAAAAACUGCUGUCCUGUAUUCCUUUAAGCCUCUCUGAAACUUGACCCUCUGGCAGGAACAGGUGCCAUUACAUACAGACACUCUCUCUCUUCCAAAUUCACCCUGUCAUAUCAAAGGGAAAACUGAAGUGGUCCACUGUAGACCUGGCAGAUGAUCACAAACAGGAAACCAGCAAUCAGAAGUGCCUACUGAGCUCCCGACCCUGACCAUCACCUACAGCUACAUUUUACAGAUACAAAAUCAUUGUUUGUUCAACUUUCAUAUCAAAGGAUGCUAUUAGUUCAUUUCCAAAGGUGGGAAAAUGUUUCAACUUACUUUAUUACUUGUCUGCUACUUACUAUUUUCCCUCCGUUUGCCUGCCUGACUUCUUUUAACUCUUCACUCAACAAAUAUCUACUGACUACUGAGCACUUGCCAAGUGCUAGGCCAGAGCUGGAUGCUGUACUACGGGCAGAUGAAGUGCUAUGGGCAUCCAGAGGUGGAAGAAGAGGGUAUAGCAAAAGGGGAGAAAAGGCUGCAACAAUAUUCACUGAGCCCUGUGCUCCCAGGUCAUCACAUAGACUAUGUCAUUAUUCCUCCUAACCACCCACAUGAGUAAAUAGGGGCUAUUACUGAAGAAACAGAGGCUUACAAAGGUUGAGCAACUUGCCCAAGGUCAUCUAUCACAAGACACUACAAGUCAGACUGCUGAAGAGGGAGUUUCUGCUGAGAAGCUGAAGUGGGCAGCUCAUAUUGGAUGUGAAGGCUUCAAAGGAAUCUAAGUCCUAAUGAUCCCUCUAGAGCCAACAUGCAGCACCAGUUUUCUCUUCCACAUUUGAACUGCUCAUCCACUUCCGGCUCCAAGACCUCACUCUCCAUCUAAACUAGUCCCACACCAUCCAUAUCUUUCUCCACUAACACCACCCAAUCACAACCCCACAGCCUCUUAGUCAUGAGUCAUUUUUUAAAAACUGCAAACCAUGUAAUGAGCCAUGGCAAUAUGCAACCCUAAACCUCAACACGUGUUUUCCACAACAAGGCCACAGGUGGCAGAAGCGAGCCUAAGGCCGUAGGACACUAAGGCAGGACUCUCUGGCUUGAGCUUUCCAAAAAGGGAGAUGAGAGAAGGUCUACCUGCGGGAAGGCAUGCUGAAGGCCUGAGGCUGAGUCAAAGAAGGAGCCCCCUGGAGGCUCUGCAGUUCCUGGACUUCAGGUAGAGGAACUCUGCCAUGAACGCCUCUGGAAUCGUGUCACUUUGGGACAAUUAGAGAAUAUCAGUUUUCAGACUGAGUUCUAUGGGAAGGUGCCUGCACAACAAAGGAGAGACGGAAUGGACUUCAGGUCUUCCAAAA
rnacentral:lncRNA from 1 species